rnacentral:rRNA from 1 species
GAAAUCUUAAGAUUAAGGUUAUGAGAGAACACAGGGUUUGCCCUAGUAACGGCGAGUGAAGCGGCAACAGCUCAAAUUUGAAAUCUGGCGUCUUCGGCGUCCGAGUUGUAAUUUGCAGAGGGCGCUUUGGCAUUGGCAGCGGUCCAAGUUCCUUGGAACAGGACGUCACAGAGGGUGAGAAUCCCGUACGUGGUCGCUAGCCUUUACCGUGUAAAGCCCCUUCGACGAGUCGAGUUGUUUGGGAAUGCAGCUCUAAAUGGGAGGUAAAUUUCUUCUAAAGCUAAAUACUGGCCAGAGACCGAUAGCGCACAAGUAGAGUGAUCGAAAGAUGAAAAGCACUUUGGAAAGAGAGUUAAAAAGCACGUGAAAUUGUUGAAAGGGAAGCGCUUGCAGCCAGACUUGCCUGUAGUUGCUCAUCCGGGUUUCUACCCGGUGCACUCUUCUAUAGGCAGGCCAGCAUCAGUUUGGGCGGUUGGAUAAAGGUCUCUGUCAUGUACCUCCUUUCGGGGAGAACUUAUAGGGGAGACGACAUGCAACCAGCCCGGACUGAGGUCCGCGCAUCUGCUAGGAUGCUGGCGUAAUGGCUGUAAGCGGCCCGUCUUGAAACACGGACCAAGGAGUCUAACAUCUAUGCGAGUGUUUGGGUGUCAAGCCCGAACGCGUAAUGAAAGUGAACGGAGGUGGGAACCUUUCGGGGUGCACCAUCGACCGAUCCUGAUGUCUUCGGAUGGAUUUGAGUAAGAGCAUAGCUGUUGGGACCCGAAAGAUGGUGAACUAUGCUUGAAUAGGGUGAAGCCAGAGGAAACUCUGGUGGAGGCUCGCAGCGGUUCUGACGUGCAAAUCGAUCGUCAAAUUUGGGCAUAGGGGCGAAAGACUAAUCGAACUAUCAGUGCUGCC